UAGGCCAACGUUUGUUGGUCGUCAACUUCUUAGAGGGACUAUUGACUAUUAGUCAAUGGAAGUUUGAGGCAAUAACAGGUCUGUGAUGCCCUUAGAUGUUCUGGGCCGCACGCGCGCUACACUGAUCAAGUCAACGAGUUUACAACCUUGGCCGGAAGGUCUGGGUAAUCUUUUGAAACUUGAUCGUGCUGGGGAUAGUCCAUUGCAAUUAUUGGACUUCAACGAGGAAUUCCUAGUAAGCGUGAGUCAUCAGCUCGCGUUGAUUACGUCCCUGCCCUUUGUACACACCGCCCGUCGCUACUACCGAUUGAAUGGCU
rnacentral:rRNA from 1 species